rnacentral:rRNA from 1 species
AACGAACGCUGGCGGCAGGCUUAACACAUGCAAGUCGAACGCAUCCUUCGGGGUGAGUGGCAGACGGGUGAGUAACGCGUGGGAACGUGCCCUUCAGUUCGGGAUAACCCAGGGAAACUUGGGCUAAUACCGGAUACGUGCGAGAGCAGAAAGAUUUAUCGCUGAAGGAUCGGCCCGCGUCUGAUUAGCUAGUUGGUGGGGUAAUGGCCCACCAAGGCGACGAUCAGUAGCUGGUCUGAGAGGAUGAUCAGCCACAUUGGGACUGAGACACGGCGCAAACUCCUACGGGAGGCAGCAGUGGGGAAUAUUGGACAAGGGGCGCAGGCCGGAUCCAGCCAUGCCGCGUGAGCGAUGAAGGCCUUAGGGUUGUAAAGCUCUUUCGUCCGGGACGAUAAUGACGGUACCGGAAGAAGAAGCCCCGGCUAACUUCGUGCCAGCCGCCGCCGUAA